GAGAGAGAGAGAAGAGAGAG
rnacentral:sRNA from 1 species